rnacentral:rRNA from 1 species
GUAGGUGGCAAGCGCUGUCCGGAAUUAUUGGGCGUAAAGCGCGCGCAGGCGGUCCUUUAAGUCUGAUGUGAAAGCCCACGGCUCAACCGUGGAGGGUCAUUGGAAACUGGGGGACUUGAGUACAGAAGAGGAAAGCGGAAUUCCAAGUGUAGCGGUGAAAUGCGUAGAGAUUUGGAGGAACACCAGUGGCGAAGGCGGCUUUCUGGUCUGUAACUGACGCUGAGGCGCGAAAGCGUGGGGAGCAAACAGGGAUUAGAUACCCUGGUAGUCCACGCCGUAAACGAUGAGUGCUAAGUGUUAGGGGGUUUCCCGCCCCUUAGUGCUGCAGCUAACGCAUUAAGCACUCCGCCUGGGGAGUACGGCCGCAAGGCUG